AGUGAACGCUGGCGGCAUGCCUAACACAUGCAAGUCGAACGGCAGCACGGGGAGCGCGCGCCCUUGAGGUUGGCGACGGGCGGGUGAGUGAGGAGUACAUAGGCAUCUACUUUGUCGGGGGGGACAACGUAGGGACACAUACGAUAAUACAGCAUACGUUGUACGGGUGGAAGCAGGGGAUCUUCGGGGCUUUGGCGAUAGUAUGAGACGAUGUCGGAUUAGCUAGUUGGUGGGGUAAAGGCCCACCAAGGCGACGCUCCGUAGCUGGUCUGAGAGGAUGAUCAGCCACACUGGAACUGAGACACGGUCCAGACUCCUACGGGAGGCAGCAGUGGGGAAUCUUGGACAAUGGGCGCAAGCCUGAUCGAGCAAUGCCGCGUGGGUGAUGAAGGCCUUCGGGUUGUAAAGCCCUUUUGUUGGGAAAGAAAAGCAGUGUGUUAAUACACCGAUGUCCUGACGGUACCCAAAGAAUAAGCACCGGCUAACUACGUG
rnacentral:rRNA from 1 species